GCCAUCCUCCUGCCUCAGCCUCUCAAGUAGCUGGGACUACAGUACUCCAGCACUUUCACAGUCAUUUACGGCAUCUGCAGAGCAGUGAAAAAUUUGAAUUGCCUGAGAUACAUGCUCCCUGCUGAAGUCGCACAAGCUGGCCAAUCCUGCUAAUCCUUUAAAACUCACCUGGAGGGAAGGCCUCCUUCUGCAAAGCCUCUCUUGAUGCAGAUUAUCAGCUUUCACUCUCUACCAGAUGGCAAGGAUAUUGCUGUUGGCUCAUAGGAUGUGAACAGUGGUGUUGAGAUUACCCUCAUUUGGCUGAUGAUGUCAUUGAGGCCCAGAGAAGGUAGGACACCUGGCAGGGCCUGGCUUUGGGGCUAACUUCUGCAGCUCUUUUGAUUGCCCCCACCUUACAGUUUUUGGCACAGAGCACUGUGUAGCUGGCACUUCUCUACUGGCCCGAAUGAGAAAACUUCCUCAGAGCAAAAUGUCAAGCACCAAAUAAGAUUCAUGUUUACUGUGAAGUGAUUGCUGCUUUUUAAAUGCUUAUCAGAAGCCGAAGGACAAACUCAGUAGGUUGAUUCAUGCUGAGCUCGACUACCUCCGUGAGAAAUGACUCUCCUGUAGGGCUCGAUGACCUUCAUGUCAAUGCGCUGCUCUUGUUCUCCA
rnacentral:lncRNA from 1 species